GGCGGAGCUCACAUUCAACGUUUCUUGGGUCUAAAUCUUCCGGGCAGCUGUCUACACUUUGGCUCAGUGAUUUUCAUGGUGUGAUAUAUAGUCAACCCCACAUCAGAUCACCUGGAAUCAUUGUCGAUAUUGGGUACAACUUGCCUCACCCCAGAAUUUCAAGGAGUGUGACCUGCGAGUCUGUAUUUUUACCAGGUACCAUCUGCUGACUUCCCACAUCAGAAGAAUGAUCUUCAACCCAAGACACAGGCAAAGAGAGCAUCUAACUGCUUAAAAUGAGAGCAGGAAUGGCUGUUGGCUUAGAUAGAUGGCACCCCAGAGUCCUGAAAGAACUUGCAGAUGUGAUCACAGGACCAUCUGAACCGGAGAAACCGGGGGGAAUGGAGAGACAGCAAAAGACCGGAGAUGGGUAAAUGAGUUCCAGAUUUUCCAACACAACAGGAAAGGAAUCUACUUACCAAGAUGGCAGGAGCAAGUGGUUAUCAGAGCCUGCUCUCUAGAAAUACAAUUAAACAAGCAGCCCCUGUCUCUUUUUCUCCACUUUCAGUCUUGGGGAAGGGAUUGGAAUAUGUGAGCAGGAGAGAAGGGUCAUGUUGGAGCAGCCAGGACUCAGAGCCUUUCCGCAGACUGAGUCUGGAUCCUUUCCUUCAGCCUCCAGGAAUACUCCCGGCUCCACACCCAGAAUGGUAAUCCAGGCAAGGGCUCUGGUGUGUGGCCACACUGCCACCUAUUACCUGCGGGUCCAAAUGCAGUGACUCAACUUCUCUGUGCCUCUCUUUCCACAUGUAUAAAAUGAGGAUAAUGUUGCUAUUGUAAGAAUUGCAUCAAUUAAUAAACAGCACUCAGUGAA
ensembl:lncRNA LINC01895 long intergenic non-protein coding RNA 1895